CUUUGCAAAAGCAGGAAGGUCAGGAAGAGUGCUGCAUCUGGCGUGAAAGCUUCAUCGUAUAAAGGUAACCGUACCAGGAAAGCAAAGUAGCUAGUACCACCAACGUUUGCCUUAGAGGUAAGCUCUUCAGAAUUUUUGAGAGGAGUAGGCUACAUAAUAUUGACGUCAGACCGUUUUAUGUUAAACUGGUGUCCAGUAAUUAAUGCUAGUGGGUAUUUCAAGGCAGUCAGCAAGUUUGCAGUAGCCUUUUCCAAUAUAUUUAAUUUUUUAUCUCUGUAAUUAUAGACAAAUACAUUACAUUACAAAGUUGCCUCUAUGUAACAUUUGCUGCCUUUGCAUUGUGCAUGUGUUCUUUGCCACACACAAUUGUUCCCAGAUGGAAACUCGUUUGACCAAAAGGGUGUGUGAGGCGAUGAAGGCCGAGGAAGCUCAGGAAGAAGUUGUGGACGAGACAAACAAGGACAACCAGACAGAUGUGGAAGAGGUCCCCGUUCGACUGAAGAAAAAGAAGCUAGUCAAAUAUUCCCCAAAGAAACUGAUGUCUCCAACAGGGGCAUUGGAGUUGGCCAAGCUGAAAGAACAAGCCAAGGUGGAUCAACACAAGAUUAAACACCUUGAGGACCGCAUUAAAUACCUGGAAGAGGCCAACAGGGAUCUAAAAAAUGACAAGGA